UACGUAGGGUGCGAGCGUUAUUCGGAAUUACUGGGCGUAAAGUGUGCGCAGGCGGCAAAGCAAGUCGAGUGUGAAAGCCCCGGGCUUAACUUGGGAAUUGCGCUCGAAACUACUUUGCUGGAGUGUGGCAGAGGAAGGUGGAAUUCCACGUGUAGCGGUGAAAUGCGUAGAUAUCCGGAAGAACACCAAAGGCGAAGGCAGUGUCCUGGCUGGUUCCUGACGCUGAGGUGCGAAAGCUAGGGGAGCGAACGGG
rnacentral:rRNA from 1 species